GACGAACGCUGGCGGCGUGCUUAACACAUGCAAGUCGAACGAAGAGCGAUGGAAGCUUGCUUCUAUCAAUCUUAGUGGCGAACGGGUGAGUAACGCGUAAUCAACCUGCCCUUCAGAGGGGGACAACAGUUGGAAACGACUGCUAAUACCGCAUACAAUCUGACCUCGGCAUCGAGGAUAGAUGAAAGGUGGCCUCUACAUGUAAGCUAUCACUGAAGAGGGGGUUGCGUCUGAUUAGCUAGUUGGAGGGGUAACGGCCCACCAAGGCGAUGAUCAGUAGCCGGUCUGAGAGGAUGAACGGCCACAUUGGGACUGAGACACGGCCCAGACUCCUACGGGAGGCAGCAGUGGGGAAUCUUCCGCAAUGGACGAAAGUCUGACGGAGCAACGCCGCGUGAGUGAUGACGGCCUUCGGGUUGUAAAGCUCUGUUAAUCGGGACGAAAGGCCUUUUUGCGAAUAGUGAGAAGGAUUGACGGUACCGGAAUAGAAAGCCACGGCUAACUACGUG
rnacentral:rRNA from 1 species